GAACGGAGCUGAUGAUCAAUCUCUCUGAUGACAACAAGGAAUCCUCUCAGGUUCAAGCUCUUAUCAGGGACUACAGAGGGCAGCAGCACUGCCAAGCGCUUGGGCAGCUGCUCCCUGCCACUGGACCAGGAGGCUGAUUUUCACCAGAAACACAGAUGGAAGAGACAAGAAACUCCCGAGCCCUCAUUGUCAUCUUGGGCAAAUAGGGUGAAUGACAACUUGAAGGAGAGAGGUGGUUUGCAUGUCUUGGCUACUUCCAAAUUUGCAGCUGAAGACGCGUUCUUCAUUGCAUCAUUCUGGACCAGCUCCCACAUUUCAUCUCACGCUGUUCUGCUCUGCUUUCCCUGUACAAAGUGGAACCAUCAGCUUUCAGCUGAAACAGUCUAUUUUAAGAUAAAGGAGAAAUAAAAUGAGGAAGAUUGUAAGUGAAAACUCCAUGGAGAAGUUUACAGUGCUUCCUUUUUAUGAAAACAAACUAGAG
ensembl:lncRNA